rnacentral:rRNA from 1 species
AGUAACGCGUGAGUAACCUGCCUCUAAGAGGGGAAUAACAUUCUGAAAAGAAUGCUAAUACCGCAUAACAUAUAUUUAUCGCAUGGUAGAUAUAUCAAAGAUUUAUCGCUUAGAGAUGGACUCGCGUCCGAUUAGUUAGUUGGUGAGGUAACGGCUCACCAAGACUGCGAUCGGUAGCCGGACUGAGAGGUUGAACGGCCACAUUGGGACUGAGACACGGCCCAA